CAGGAACUGAAAUGGCACUGAUGCAGCAAGGACUGAGCAGCAAGUGCUGCCCUCGGCAAUGGUCCUGGUCCUCCUCAGGGCGUUUGGCCAAGGUUUGGAGAGCUCAGGGAUGCACAUGGGGUUGUCCCAUGGGAAGAAGGAAAAUACUGCGUUAAAUGGAGAUAGGGGGAAACAAAGAAAGAGGAGCUUUUUUGGAAGGAGCUGUUUGAAAGGACAGUUUUCAUCAAAGGAAAAGUCAUCGUCUCAGGGAAGUCUUCAGUGUAGACAACUUCAGCAGGAAACUGCCUGAUUUCUGCACAGCUGCACUGCUCACUUUGCUCACUGCCACCUGAUGUGUCCUGCCUGGGGUGGCACACACCUUGCUGACAGCAGAUGAGAAAUCUCAGCCUGGUGGAGGAGAAGGAUCAAUCUGGAGAUCUGGAUCAUGUAGUGAGUAGAAAUGCUCUCUGCAGUCUUGGUGGCUUUGAAGCCAUCACCUUGUUGGCUCCAAAGCUAUUUCCUUGAUGGCUCUUCAUCAGACUUCCACUCUGCAGUACUACUGCAGGGACAGCUCUUCUCCACCAGCAGGUUGUGCUCAAGGAAGGUUGAGAAGAACUCCUGCAGAUAUAAGCGUUGGGAGAUGGGCAGUCCCUCGUCUUGGUGCAGCAGACUAUGAACAUCUGAACUGGCUCCAUGAAGUCCAGCAUCUGUCUUCAACAGGAAAAAGACACAACAGGACCAAAAGCUGUCACUGGCAUUUGAACAAGUUCCUACUUGACUUCAGAAAGAAUAGCAUUUUCCAGUGGAAAACCUCUUGGUUCAAAAUGUUUUGACUGGCUCUACUAGGACUAGAAACAGAGGGCCACUGCAGGAAAAAUAAAUACUGUGCCUGUUCUCCUUAACGCA
rnacentral:lncRNA from 1 species